AAUGUUAAUAGAUAAAAAACACUAGUAAAGGAAGUAUUUAAAUAGUGUUUCACUUAGAACACUAAAAGGCAAUCUUAACAGAAACUAAAAAAAUUUAGGGCUAUGCACCAAAGAAUUCAGGUAUUGCUGGGAUAUGGUGCUAAAAAAGAACGAAAUGGGGUUGGUGGUGUUUUCAAGGAGCUUUUUGCAUAUGGUUGUCGUUGAUUCUUGAAGAAUAUAACUAUUUUUUCUAACACAGAACUUGUUUGGCAUCUAGUGUAGUGAUAUGACUUGGCUUAUUUGACAUCAGCCGACCCCCACAGCCAGGAACAUAGAAGAGGACUUCAAAUGGAUGAAAACAAUGAACCAAUAUGAGGAAAACAAGUAUACAGUAGUCUACAAUUUGUCGUUCUCAUUAUCCUAUGGUUUAAGACAAAAUUCAAUACCAAACAAUGGGUAACAUCUUUCCAGAUUUUAUCUUCCAGCACUGGCAAAUUCCAGUAAGGCAUGAAACUAAAGGAAUUAUAUUUUUAGAAAAACUGUCUGAGCCAGUUUGUGUACCUCAACUAUUCUCACGGAACCACCAUCUAACCCUACCUCUACUAGACUUAGUUGUCAAAGUAACUCUAUAAUGUUAUGUCCUAGGUAGGCGGCUACCAUGAGUUGAACUUAUUCACUUUAAACCUUUCAAGGUUGUUUUAAGAAAACUGUUAUUGGUUGUUUUGAACUGUUUCUUGCAAUAGGAACUAAAACAAACCUUCUAAGAGUUCUUGGGAGCAAUUGAAAAUCUUUCAUCGCUGGGGGGUGGGGAGGGGUUUGAUCGCGAACUCAGCAACAUAAUAACACCGAAUUCAUUAGACUUAAAUGAAAAUCUUGGGAUGUCAAGUAUCACAAUUGCACUUGUCUGUCUUGCCCAUGAUUGCUUUCCCAUUAAACCUUUUACAUUGCUUUGAAUGUAUUUCAUUCUAGUAUAAUUAUUUAAGUUCCUUGUAAUGUUGUUAACGUCUGCACCUACUAAAGACAAUUUGUCUCCUAAUAUACUAGAGGGGGAUACAACUAGUUGUCAAAUUUUCCUACUUGAGUUGUAUGCCAUCGAUGUUUAUAUUGACUCUUACGGCUAACGUAUAACAUCUACUCCUAAACAAUGUUUUUCAAAACUAUCUAUAACCCCAUAUUCUAAAACCAUUUUCUAGAGACUAUGAGAUAGUACCACCAGCAAUCCAAGUUUGAGUUGGCCGAAUUACUUAAGGGUGAGAGUAAGUAUCGCACAAUCGUUUCAGUCCUAAAACAGGUGCAGGUGGCGAUAGGACAACUAGAAACCGUCGGCUUAGAGCAAAGAGAGUGCCAAGGAGGUGAUUUAAGGGAGGGGACACUCAAGUUCGAGUGAAGAAUUUUUGGAAAACUCAAGGAAAACCCCCUAGUCGUCAGCAACUGUUCGAGCUCGAAUUUGUAACCUUUCCUUAGGUGUUCAAGUGUGUCGGUUGGGAGGUUUUUCGCCGAGGGAGGUCGAGGAACGAAGGGUUGCAAGCAUCAUCGGAGAUGAGGCAUGAAGCAGCGGUCAAGACAGAGGCACACACGAGCUAGGGGCUAUGAAGUUUUGGACUAGAUCGGUGUCUUGUACUCCCUUUGAUAUGUUUCUCUUACGAACCCUUGAUCUUUGUAUGCAAAGAUUUUUACGAAUUUCCUAUGCCAAGUUUUUUUUUUCUUUUUCCUGUGUGUGUCGUGGUUUGUUAGUCUGUAAGGUAUUUUUGAACGAUGUUGUAUUAAACCUAAAUUUUCUUUAUGUGCAUGCACGUUUAGAAGUUUUAAAUUAAA